GAGAGAGAGAGAGAGAGAGAAACCAGAGACCAAACAAAGCUCAAAGUCCAAAGAUGUUUCUUUUCAAAUUCAUAGGGAGGAGAGAAGAAUCUCCCCCUGAAAGGGGAAAAGAGUAGCGAACCAAUCAACAGAAGCUCAACUGAAAAACAAAUUCUUAAAUUUAAAUUUUUUAAGAAAAAUUCUAUGACCCACUAGAGAAGUUAGUUAAAAGGAGAGAUGGGGUUUUAAGUAUUUUUAAUAACUGUGGCGCAGAGCUUCACUCUCGAUCUACAGACAAAAUCAUGGAAGAGAUUGAGUGUGUGUUCAAUAAAGUAUAGGGUAAAGAAGCG
rnacentral:misc_RNA from 1 species